AAAAAUCUGUUUGCUGUAGCAUUCCAGUGUGUUUGGACAACUAUGAAAUAAUUUAAAACUCUUUAAUUUUAAUACAUCCCAUGUUUUUCUAGACUCCACAGCAUUCAUAAAGACAUAAGGAUGGCAUCCAAGUACUGUGCAACUUAGUACUCUUGGGAGCAAGUGACUUCUGGAUGACACACAGUGAAGAAAUCAACCCACCACACUGGUUACUUGCUGUGACCGCUUUUUUGCUUGUUGUUCCCCACACUGAGAGCAAAACGAGGUCCAGCAGAACUAGGGUGGUACCUUACUACAGGGUUCAAGACAGUAAUAUGGACAACUAGCAAAACAAGUGUCACACACAAGCCAGUUUAUACUGAAACAUAAUGAGACAGUAAGUUAAACGAGUGAAUCAACACAAUCGCUGCAAAAAGUCAUAGCCUUCCCAUUAAAGGUAACAGGAAGCUCA